UUAGCAGUCGCACAUCAUGUCUCCUCUUUCAUUUUUUCUGGAAAAGUAGCGUAUUUUGUCAACAAUAAGUAGAGGGUAGGUACUCCAUCUUCACGCCAACUCCUCUCAAUCACGUGGCUCCUGCAAAUCUUAUCCUAAGGGUUUCCAACGUUUGGAUUUGAAGAGCAAAAAUGGAGUCUCAAUUAAGGACUCUCGCAAAAUUAGAGUCUCAUGGACUCGACACCAUCAUACCCAUACAUGAAUUCGACAACCCAGACUAUCCAAAAUGACAACAAAAAUCAUUUGGGGGUCGCUUUUACUUAUUACUAUUUAGCAUUUAUUUAUUUUAACUUUCUAAUGUGUUUUGGAUAUGUGUUAAUUUCUUGUUUCAUAAUAGUUGACAUAAUAUAGAUGUUUGAGUUUGGGUACCUUUUUAGUUAGAAACAAACCUUUA